rnacentral:lncRNA from 1 species
ACAAGUCCACUGAGUUGAACAAGUUUUACCCAUUUAGUUCGGCCAUGAAAUCCAAGAUCAGAGUUUUACAAAUUUUCAAGAAAUAACAGAGAAAACACUAGCGGAAGACUUCGUCGGGGUCGGACAUCCCUGGUGAGGCCAACCGGGACAUCACUGGCUCCUCUCCUCGCCGUCCGAGGAAGGAUCCCACUCGACCGUCCAGCCUGGCGGGAGCUGGGGCAGCCAAGCACCAACCAGAGAGGGGUCGGAAGCAGCAACUUCACCUGAAAAACAGGAGCCACA